rnacentral:piRNA from 1 species
UAAAAUACUUGAGAAAAAUUU